UACAGAGGGUGCAAGCGUUAAUCGGAAUUACUGGGCGUAAAGCGUGCGUCGGUGGUUCUUUAAGUCAGGUGUGAAAUCCCUGGGCUCAACCUGGGAACUGCAUUUGAUACUGAAGAGCUAGAGUGUGGUAGAGGAUAGUGGAAUUCCCGGUGUAGCGGUGAAAUGCGUAGAUAUCGGGAGGAACAUCAGUGGCGAAGGCGGCUAUCUGGACUAACACUGACACUGAGGCACAAAAGCGUGGGUAGCAAACAGG
rnacentral:rRNA from 1 species